CAGCAGCCGCGGUAAUACGGAGGGUGCAAGCGUUAAUCGGAAUUACUGGGCGUAAAGCGCACGCAGGCGGUCUGACAAGUCAGAUGUGAAAUCCCCGGGCUUAACCUGGGAACUGCAUUUGAAACUGUCAGGCUGGAGUCUUGUAGAGGGGGGUAGAAUUCCAGGUGUAGCGGUGAAAUGCGUAGAGAUCUGGAGGAAUACCGGUGGCGAAGGCGGCCCCCUGGACAAAGACUGACGCUCAGGUGCGAAAGCGUGGGGAGCAAACAGGAUUAGAUACCCCGGUAGUCCCUGUCUCUUAUCC
rnacentral:rRNA from 1 species